UAAGAAGUAAAACAGAUGACACAUGCCGGCCAGUAGUCAGUGGGAGAAUUGUUCAACGAUGAUGACAGGAGACUGAGCCCAGAGAUUAGGGAUAUGAGAAUUCAAGCCUCAAAGACCCUUAGCCGCUGCCUCCGAUGUCUCUUACAUUUGAAGGGGUCAUGAGAACUUGUGUUUUCCAGGGAUUAUUUAUCACUCUCUGGGGGCAGAGUCAGAGGAGCAGGUCAGGCAAAUAUGAGCCUGCAGAUUUCGCAAGCGUGUUAGGAAAGAAGGACAAGGGAAGACAAUUAAGCAAGUGUAAGCAAGUCACCUGGCAUUUCUCAUUGGGUGUUACGGCCCCAUUCUAGAACCAUCGUCAGGGAACCCAACUGGCUCUCUCCUGCUUCUCUCACCUUCUAGCCUGCAAAACCAUAGGGGAGAAGAUUUUUUCAGUGGUGUGGACUCCAUUUCCUGGCAAUGGGUCCUGCAGCACUGACAGCACCAGGACUAGAGAGAGCAGGUUCACAGCACAGCUUACCGUACCUAGACGUGAGGCCAGAGGCUGAGACCUGUUUAUCUCUUUAAUCCUCAAAAGAGGCGGCACAGAACCUGGAAUGUCUCUGAUGCUUAGUACACGUGGGUCGAAUGUAUGAGGAGCCCUUGCUCUCCCUCUGCAUGCAUGUGGCAUGCUCACUUAUGCUCUGUUCUUGCAGGGUACAUACCUGCAUUAUCGCUAUGGCCCAUCUGUCUAAAGUUGGAAUGCAACUCUGGUCAGAAAUAACUUCAUUCUAAAGUAAAUAGAACAAAGGAAAAUGUGGUUUCCAUUUGCUCCUUCCACGACAAGGAAGUCCUGGCACUUGGGGGAGGGGUUUUGGUCUAACUGGGGCCUGAACAGACCAGGAACCCUCAAGGGAGAGAGGUCAGUCACGACAAAAACGCUUCAAGCCACUGACCCAGCACAAAGACUCCACUGUGAGGAAACUCAAUAUAAGGGUGUGCCUGGCUCUACGGGAAUGUGAUACACAAAAAUCCUAAGUCAUAAAAUAGAUAAAUCUGGGGUGGUUAUUGACUUUACAAGAGAACUCGCCAGCAGGUUCCUCUAAAUAGCCAGCUCUCACAGUCCACUUAAACUGUGACUUUAUUUUCAGGAGUUUGAUAUUACACACCGGUUUUCAGGAGAAACAUAAAUAGGUCCCCAGGGAGCCUGACGUCACAGUGUGUCUGGCCAGCAAGUUGUUGACCAGGCCUUAAGGUGAACAGGCCUGGAGCUGCCGAAAGUGCUGGAGGAGCUGUGGUUUGGGAGCUCCCUCCAUGUCUGCUCAUGGAGCCUGGCUGUUUCCAAGGUUGGGUGCAAUAGGAAGAGCCAGACCCAAUCUGGGCCUUCUUGCCUCUAAUUGAGUGGGCUGAUGGAUUGCUCAGCACAUUUUUCUGUAAGGGGAACAUAGAAUUUGUAUCCGCUACUCAUUCGUUCAUUCAUUCAAGAGUGUUUACUACCUCCUUUCUAUGUGCAUGACACUGUGUUGGGCAGAGCAAUGCAGAGAAGACUGUAACGUGUACUCCUGUCCCCUAGGACCUCACAGUCUAAUUAGACAAACUCCUGGAUAUCGUUGAUUCUAGAAAGUACAUUUUUACCGUUGCUCAGCUCUGAAAUCAAAAUGCAUCUUCCGGGGCUGGCCCGGUCGUGCAGAGGUUAAGUUCUCACAUCCUGAUUCGGCAGCCUGGGGUUCGCCGGUUCAGAUCCCAGGUGCUGAUCUACGCACUGAUUGUGAAGCCAUGCUGUGGCAGGCAUCCCACAUAAAAUAGAGGAAGAUGGGCAUGGAUGUUAGCUCAGGGCCAGUCUUCCUCAGCAAAACGAGGAGGAUUGGCAGUGGAUGUUAGAUCAGAGCUAAGCUUCCUAAAAAAAAACAAAAAAAGCAUCUUACUGCACAUAAUAUGACACAGUUGGACAUAAUUGACUGGAUUUCUCUUAGUGGUAUGUAAAAUGAUGGUGUCUCUUUUCAGUUGUCAGUGUCUUAGAUGAAAUAGGUAUAUGAAAG
rnacentral:lncRNA from 1 species